GGUUAAGCGACUAAGCGUACACGGUGGAUGCCCUGGCAGUCAGAGGCGAUGAAGGACGUGCUAAUCUGCGAAAAGCGCCGGCGAGGUGAUAUGAACCUUUGACCCGGCGAUGUCCGAAUGGGGAAACCCAGUGCAAUCCGUUGCACUAUCGUUAACUGAAUACAUAGGUUAACGAGGCGAACCGGGGGAACUGAAACAUCUAAGUACCCCGAGGAAAAGAAAUCAACCGAGAUUCCCCCAGUAGCGGCGAGCGAACGGGGAGCAGCCCGGAGUCUGAAUCAGCUUGUGUGUUAGUGGAACGGUCUGGAAAGUCCGACGGUACAGGGUGAUAGUCCCGUACACGAAAGCACACUUGCUGUGAACUCGAAGAGUAGGGCGGGACACGUGGUAUCCUGUCUGAAUAUGGGGGGACCAUCCUCCAAGGCUAAAUACUCCUGACUGACCGAUAGUGAACCAGUACCGUGAGGGAAAGGCGAAAAGAACCCCGGCGAGGGGAGUGAAAAAGAACCUGAAACCGUGUACGUACAAGCAGUGGGAGCCUCUUUAUGGGGUGACUGCGUACCUUUUGUAUAAUGGGUCAGCGACUUAUAUUCUGUAGCAAGGUUAACCGUAUAGGGGAGCCGAAGGGAAACCGAGUCUUAACUGGGCGUUAAGUUGCAGGGUAUAGACCCGAAACCCGGUGAUCUAGCCAUGGGCAGGUUGAAGGUUGGGUAACACUAACUGGAGGACCGAACCGACUAAUGUUGAAAAAUUAGCGGAUGACCUGUGGCUGGGGGUGAAAGGCCAAUCAAACCGGGAGAUAGCUGGUUCUCCCCGAAAGCUAUUUAGGUAGCGCCUCGUGAACUCAUCUUCGGGGGUAGAGCACUGUUUCGGCUAGGGGGCCAUCCCGGCUUACCAACCCGAUGCAAACUACGAAUACCGAAGAAUGUUAUCACGGGAGACACACGGCGGGUGCUAACGUCCGUCGUGAAGAGGGAAACAACCCAGACCGCCAGCUAAGGUCCCAAAGUCAUGGUUAAGUGGGAAACGAUGUGGGAAGGCACAGACAGCCAGGAUGUUGGCUUAGAAGCAGCCAUCAUUUAAAGAAAGCGUAAUAGCUCACUGGUCGAGUCGGCCUGCGCGGAAGAUGUAACGGGGCUAAACCAUGCACCGAAGCUGCGGCAGCGACACUAUGUGUUGUUGGGUAGGGGAGCGUUCUGUAAGCCGUUGAAGGUGUCCUGUGAGGGGUGCUGGAGGUAUCAGAAGUGCGAAUGCUGACAUAAGUAACGAUAAAGCGGGUGAAAAGCCCGCUCGCCGGAAGACCAAGGGUUCCUGUCCAACGUUAAUCGGGGCAGGGUGAGUCGACCCCUAAGGCGAGGCCGAAAGGCGUAGUCGAUGGGAAACAGGUUAAUAUUCCUGUACUUGGUGUUACUGCGAAGGGGGACGGAGAAGGCUAUGUCAGCCGGGCGACGGUUGUCCCGGUUUAAGCAUGUAGGCGGAGGUUCCAGGUAAAUCCGGUACCUUAUUAACGCUGAGGUGUGAUGACGAGGCACUACGGUGCUGAAGUGAUAAAUGCCCUGCUUCCAGGAAAAGCCUCUAAGCAUCAGGUAACACGAAAUCGUACCCCAAACCGACACAGGUGGUCAGGUAGAGAAUACCAAGGCGCUUGAGAGAACUCGGGUGAAGGAACUAGGCAAAAUGGUGCCGUAACUUCGGGAGAAGGCACGCUGAUGUGUAGGUGAAGCCCCUGCGGGCGGAGCUGAAAUCAGUCGAAGAUACCAGCUGGCUGCAACUGUUUAUUAAAAACACAGCACUGUGCAAACACGAAAGUGGACGUAUACGGUGUGACGCCUGCCCGGUGCCGGAAGGUUAAUUGAUGGGGUUAGCGGCAACGCGAAGCUCUUGAUCGAAGCCCCGGUAAACGGCGGCCGUAACUAUAACGGUCCUAAGGUAGCGAAAUUCCUUGUCGGGUAAGUUCCGACCUGCACGAAUGGCGUAAUGAUGGCCAGGCUGUCUCCACCCGAGACUCAGUGAAAUUGAACUCGCUGUGAAGAUGCAGUGUACCCGCGGCAAGACGGAAAGACCCCGUGAACCUUUACUAUAGCUUGACACUGAACACUGGUCCUUGAUGUGUAGGAUAGGUGGGAGGCUUUGAAGCGUGGACGCCAGUCUGCGUGGAGCCAACCUUGAAAUACCACCCUUUAAUGGCUGGUGUUCUAACGUAGACCCGUAAUCCGGGUUGCGGACAGUGUCUGGUGGGUAGUUUGACUGGGGCGGUCUCCUCCCAAAGAGUAACGGAGGAGCACGAAGGUUGGCUAAUCCUGGUCGGACAUCAGGAGGUUAGUGCAAUGGCAUAAGCCAGCUUGACUGCGAGCGUGACGGCGCGAGCAGGUGCGAAAGCAGGUCAUAGUGAUCCGGUGGUUCUGAAUGGAAGGGCCAUCGCUCAACGGAUAAAAGGUACUCCGGGGAUAACAGGCUGAUACCGCCCAAGAGUUCAUAUCGACGGCGGUGUUUGGCACCUCGAUGUCGGCUCAUCACAUCCUGGGGCUGAAGUAGGUCCCAAGGGUAUGGCUGUUCGCCAUUUAAAGUGGUACGCGAGCUGGGUUUAGAACGUCGUGAGACAGUUCGGUCCCUAUCUGCCGUGGGCGCUGGAGAAUUGAGGGGGCUGCUCCUAGUACGAGAGGACCGGAGUGGACGCAUCACUGGUGUUCGGGUUGUCAUGCCAAUGGCACUGCCCGGUAGCUAAAUGCGGAAGAGAUAAGUGCUGAAAGCAUCUAAGCACGAAACUUGCCCCGAGAUGAGUUCUCCCUGAGACUUUAAGUCUCCUGAAGGAACGUUGAAGACGACGACGUUGAUAGGUCGGGUGUGUAAGCGCAGCGAUGCGUUGAGCUAACCGAUACUAAUGAACCGUGAGGCUUAACCUU
rnacentral:rRNA from 1 species